rnacentral:rRNA from 12 species
AUUGCAGAACACAUUGAACAUCGACACCUUGAACGCAUAUGGCGGCCUCGGGUCCAUCCCGAGGCCACGCCCGUCUGAGGGUCG